ensembl:lncRNA
UUUCUAACUUCAGUAACAAGUAAUGUGGCUGGAAUUGUCAGUACGCCUUAAACCUAGUGCUUGGAAACUUGUAGACAGCUUAUCAACUCAGUGAACAUGUGAAGAAAUGUUCCUGUUUCAAUGUGAAAAAAAGAAAAUUAGAGGCAUUAACAUGAUAUUGUGGGGGUGGGUGUGCCACUAGCGUUCUCAAAGGAAGUAUAGGGGUUGAAAAAUAUCCAGGUUAUCUGAAGCACUGUGCCUUAAGAAGUGCGUAGAGUAGACCAAUGCUUGUAGCUUUGGGGAAAAGGAAUGAGAGUACACUAACUACACAGUGGUUUUUAUGGCUGCUUUUGUGGAAAGAGCCACUCCACACUGAAAAAAAAUGAAUCAAUCCAAAUCAAUGCAGUAUUCACUUGUGAAAAGGCUGAAGUGCUUCAGAUAUCCUGUAGACACAGCAGGGGACGAUGCAAGCCUUCCCUACCCACUCUGAUCUCAAGCAGGUCAGCUCAGUAGACUACACUGGGGGUGACUUAGCACUGCAGCAAGUCAGAGUCACAUGACCUCUUUUAUUGGGCAGCAACCUCACACCAAGAUCACUGUGGGUGGCAGCCCACUGCUAACAAGACUCUGGGUAGACACUGCCCUAACUAGAUUUAAGACUACAAGCCUAAAGUUAUUCUCUUUAUUUGUCCUAACGGUGUUCAUGUGAGGUGUAGAACUAGUUCUGGAAUGAGUUCCCACAUCUGCCACGAUGUGGCAUAAGGACACUGCCAAAAGCAAUCUUCUGCUGAUCCUGAGAAGAUUAUUAUGUCAACUGGUGAGCUUCCUGGACUUAGUCUGGACUACGGAUGUAGCAUGUUCUUGAGGCCUGAACCAAAGCCCAUUGAAGUCAUUGGGAAAAACUCUUCAGCUCAAAGGACUCUGGAUUACGACCAUGAGAAACAAUUAUCUUGUUCUUUCAGAUAAACACUCCCCAAAAUGUAAUGCUUUUCUACAUAGGAGAAGUGCUCCAGCCCUCUGAUCAUUCUUGUGACUUCUGGACCUACUCCAGCAGCUCCAUGUCUUUCCUGUGCUGGUGGCCCCUAGACGUGGAUGCAGUGCUGCAAGUGGGGCAUCACAUGGACAGUAGAGGGACAAUCACCUCUCUCUCCCUACUGUCCAUCUCUCUUCUUAUGCAGCCCGGGGUACUGUUGGCCUUCUGGGCUGCAAGUGCACACUUCUGGCUCGUACUGAAUUUUUAAUCUACAAAGAACACAAAGUCAUUCUCCUCAGGAUGAUUUCUGACCACUCAUUGCUCAGCCUUAUUUGUGCUUGAGAUUGCCUUGACCCAGACACAGGACCUUGUGUUUGGCCUUUUUGAAAUUCC